GAAAUGCGAUAAGUAAUGUGAAUUGCAGAAUUCAGUGAAUCAUCGAAUCUUUGAACGCACAUUGCGCCCCCUGGUAUUCCGAGGGGCAUGCCUGUUCGAGCGUCAUUUCACCACUCAAGCCUCGCUUGGUAUUGGGCAACGCGGUCCGCCGCGUGCCUCAAAUCGACCGGCUGGGUCUUCUGUCCCCUAAGCGUUGUGGAAACUAUUCGCUAAAGGGUGUUCGGGAGGCUACGCCGUAAAACAACCCCAUUUCUAAGGUUGACCUCGGAUCAGGUAGGGAUACCCGCUGAACUUAAGC
rnacentral:misc_RNA from 1 species